UAUGGAAGGGCCAUCGCUCAACGGAUAAAAGGUACUCUGGGGAUAACAGGCUGAUACCGCCCAAGAGUUCAUAUCGACGGCGGUGUUUGGCACCUCGAUGUCGGCUCAUCUCAUCCUGGGGCUGUAGUCGGUCCCAAGGGUAUGGCUGUUCGCCAUUUAAAGAGGUACGUGAGCUGGGUUCAAAACGUCGUGAGACAGUUUGGUCCCUAUCUUCCGUGGGCGCUGCAGAUUUGAGGAAGCCUGCUCCUAGUACGAGAGGACCGGAGUGGACGCACCGCUGGUGUACCUGUUGUCACGCCCGUGGCAUCGCAGGGUAGCUAAGUGCGGAAGAGAUAACCGCUGAAAGCAUCUAAGCGGGAAACUCGUUUCAAGAUGAGAUCUGCCGGGGCCUUGAGCCCCCUGAAGAGUCGUUCUAGACCAGGACGUUGAUAGGCUGGGUGUGGAAGAGCGGUAACGCUUUAAGCUAACCAGUACUAAUUGCUCGUGCGGCUUGACCCU
rnacentral:rRNA from 1 species